rnacentral:rRNA from 1 species
GAUACCAGAGAGCUUGCUUUCUGGGAAAGUGGCGCACGGGUGCGUAACGCGUAUGCAACCUACCUUAAUCAGGGGGAUAGCCUCUCGAAAGAGAGAUUAACACCGCAUAAAAUCACACUUCGGCAUCGAAGAAUGAUCAAAUAUUUAUAGGAUUAAGAUGGGCAUGCGUGACAUUAGCUAGUUGGUAAGGUAAUGGCUUACCAAGGCUACGAUGUCUAGGGGAUCUGAGAGGAUGACCCCCCACACUGGUACUGAGACACGGACCAGACUCCUACGGGAGGCAGCAGUAAGGAAUAUUGGUCAAUGGGGGCAACCCUGAACCAGCCAUGCCGCGUGCAGGAAGACGGCCCUACGGGUUGUAAACUGCUUUUAUACGGGAAUAAAUCAUGCUACGAGUAGUGUGUUGAAUGUACUGUAAGAAUAAGGAUCGGCUAACUCCGUGCCAGCAGCCGCGGUAAUACGGAGGAUCCAAGCGUUAUCCGGAUUUAUUGGGUUUAAAGGGUGCGUAGGCGGCCUAUUAAGUCAGGGGUGAAAGACGGUGGCUCAACCAUCGCAGUGCCCUUGAUACUGAUGGGCUUGAUUACACUUGAGGUAGGCGGAAUGUGACAAGUAGCGGUGAAAUGCAUAGAUAUGUCACAGAACACCAAUUGCGAAGGCAGCUUACUAAGGUGUCAAUGACGCUGAGGCACGAAAGCGUGGGGAUCAAACAGGAUUAGAUACCCUGGUAGUCCACGCCCUAAACGAUGAAUACUCGAUGUUAGCGAUAUACAGUUAGCGUCAAAGCGAAAGCGUUAAGUAUUCCACCUGGGGAGUACGCCCGCAAGGGUGAAACUCAAAGGAAUUGACGGGGGCCCGCACAAGCGGAGGAGCAUGUGGUUUAAUUCGAUGAUACGCGAGGAACCUUACCCGGGCUUGAAAGUUACUGAAUGAUUUAGAGAUAGAUCAGUCCGCAAGGACAGGAAACUAG